GCUAAGCAGUGAUCAAUUCUUUUCAUAGUUACAUAACUGUGUUUGUUUGCUGUGAAAGGACAGGUUGAUUGCGAGAAGUCCAUGGCCCCAAGACAAAUGGCCAUUAAGAAAAGUCUCAUGUCAAUGAAGAAAAGGGUGAAGGAAUAUUCUUGGGAGGUAUAGCCUUAUCUUCAUAACCUUUCUCUUAGUCUUUUCUGGCGAAGACUCGCUUUUACUCACCAUUAUUCAAUCAAUUCUUUCCUUACCAAAGUAACUAAGAUCCAAUCUAAUGCCAAAAUAGAAGAAAGUGAGGAGAUCGAAAGCAGAGUUAGCUGAGAUGAGAGAAGAAAUGAAGCAUAAGAAUGAAGAGCUGGCAAGGCUUCUUCACCAACUUGUCCAAAGGAAACAACUGAUAAGAUCGGUGGCAAGGUCCAAUACUUGGGUCAAUCACUUCGUUGAAGCAACGAUUGCAAGUUGGGAAGAUUAAAAGAGAGGGAACUACCUGAACCCAUCUUUCUUUCUGGUUGGUUUCUUUUGUACCAUCACCUUUGGUGAACGUAAUUCGCUUUAUGUCUUCUUUUUUUUCUCUUUUUGCUCUUAACCUUUUAUUUUUGCUUUCUUUUUCACAGAAAGGACAAAAUGCAAAGAAAAAAUAAAAUUUUUAUCAUGAAAACAAAAGAAUAAAAUAGAAUUACAUGAACAAAAGAGAAAAAGGAAGCUUUUAUCAUAAACAUGUUCAUUUUUUACUGUUCGAACUAAGAAACAGAGAGUGUAUUGAAGAACAGUCUCUUACUCUCUCUAUGGAAAUGGGCGGUGAACAACUUUACCAAGGUGUGAAUUGAAGUUAAAACAAGGAAAAGUUAUACUUUUUUUUUAAGCAUAUUAUUCAAAUAAGUCUUUAAAUUAUUUAAAAAAAUUUAUAUUUUUUAUUAUUUCUAUCAAAUUUUUAUAUUUUAUUUUAAAUUAAAUAUAUUUUUAUAUUUUAUUUUAAAUUAAAUAUAUUUUUAUAUUUAAUAAUUAAUUAAUUAUUAUUAAUCAAAAUGACAGUAAUUUUCUAUCCUCGUGUUAAUGAUAUGAAGUUGAUGGGUCCGUAGACGUUACGGUCAUGGAAUCGAUCACAAAGGUUUGGAGUUCAAAUGGUGGAAUCAGCAGAGGAGAGGGUAAGUUUGGCGGCGGAGGGGUUGGGUCAGGGACAGGGACUAGUCAAUUGGUGGAGAACGGCUUUAGGCGUUGUUGAUAAGAUUUGCAUGAUGUUUGGAAGAUGAUUCAAUUUUAAGUUAGAAUUUUGCAGAAGCGUCUACAUGAGUGAAGAGACGUAUUAUAUGUAAUUUUACAUCCUUUUUAAUUUUUUAAUAAUUAAUACUUAUAAUCUCUAUAUGAGUAUUUGUAAUUUGUGUAAUCUCAUCCAUUGUUAAAGUCUUUGUAUAUACCAUGCAAAUGAAUAAAAAAAGCUGAUGAUGAAGUUUAAUUAAUUUGAAA